rnacentral:rRNA from 1 species
GAUGAACGCUGGCGGCGUGCCUAAUACAUGCAAGUCGAGCGAACGGACGAGAAGCUUGCUUCUCUGAUGUUAGCGGCGGACGGGUGAGUAACACGUGGAUAACCUACCUAUAAGACUGGGAUAACUUCGGGAAACCGGAGCUAAUACCGGAUGAUAUUUUGAACCGCAUGGUUCAAAAGUGAAAGACGGACUUGCUGUCACUUAUAGAUGGAUCCGCGCUGCAUUAGCUAGUUGGUAAGGUAACGGCUUACCAAGGCAACGAUGCAUAGCCGACCUGAGAGGGUGAUCGGCCACACUGGAACUGAGACACGGUCCAGACUCCUACGGGAGGCAGCAGUAGGGAAUCUUCCGCAAUGGGCGAAAGCCUGACGGAGCAACGCCGCGUGAGUGAUGAAGGUCUUCGGAUCGUAAAACUCUGUUAUUAGGGAAGAACAUAUGUGUAAGUAACUGUGCACAUCUUGACGGUACCUAAUCAGAAAGCCACGGCUAACUACGUG